UAAGGUACAGUCAGGUACAGUGUAGCCAACUGACAGCAGAGAGGACUUCCUCUGUCUCCUGCCUGAAGAGAUCCGUUCCGUUCAAGUCAAACAUGGUUCCUCCCGUACAGGUCUCCCCGCUUCUUAAGACAGCAAGAUGGUCAGCAUUGCUAGUUGGAUUAAUUUAUGGGAAGCAGAGAUAUGAUUAUCUGAAGCCCAUCGCUGCUGAAGAAAGGAAGGUUGAGGAGGAAGAGAAGAAACUCAGGGAAGAACAAGAGCGCAUUUACAAACAGCUGUCUGAAGCAAACUCUGACACCAUUCUGAAGUAAAUCUCCAUGAUGUAUCUAUUCCAGCACCAAAUGCAAAGAAUCACAAUGAACCUAAUUUUUAUUUUCAAUAAAGACAGAAGUUAAAAAUA